rnacentral:lncRNA from 1 species
UUCAACCUGUUCUCGUUUCCAAUGCAUACAACGAUUCCGGUGAUUGACCCAACCUUGUUUCUUUUGCAAUUAUUAGAAAAACAUAUUUCAUUUGUUAACAUUUUUUGUUUGCAACCUAUAAAUCAUUAUAUUUUAUGCUUUUGGUUGAUAUUUAAGUCCAUACUCAAACGAUUUCGUUCACCAUCGAGUGUGAGUUUCAACAG